UACAGAGACACAAGUACAGGCGACUGGGCAGCUUCCUGGAAUCUGGCUGUAGUCAACAUGUUUAUUGGUCGUGGAAGGAGCAGCUACAGCCAAGAGUAGAGAUUAAUAAUAUUAUGCAGGAAGAGUCAUCUGCUUUGGAACUUCCUCCCAUGGGAGGGUGACUUCAACAGUAACAGCCAACCUUAUUGCGUUUUGACUACAUUCAAGUCACUGUGCUUAGUGCUUGAUAACAACCACGACCAUAACAACUGUCAACAUUGAUGGGAUGCUUACUACCUAGUGAACACUGUGAUAAAGGCUUUCCAUGAGACAGCUUAUUGAAUCUUUACAACAAAUCUAGGAGAAAAUGCCCAAAGACCCAGAGGAAAUAUGGAGUACUCAGCCACUGCAUCCUAGACAUCAACUGUCUCUACUUAAUCAAAUCUGCCUCUCUUCAGGAUGUUUUGCUAACACCUGGAAUAGGGAUGCUUGAAGACAGAAGCACUUGGAAAAACUGCCUGUGCUCCUAUAUCCAUUUCUGUAAUAAUUAAAUAGAAGAAAGAGA